GGAAGUACGUUCGCAAGAAUGAAACUCAAAGGAAUUGGCGGGGGUCCGCACAAGCGGUGGAGUAUGUGGUUUAAUUCGAUGAUACGCGAGGAACCUUACCUGGGCUAGAAUGCUGGGAGACCGCUAGUGAAAGCUAGUUUUGUAGCAAUACACUGCCAGUAAGGUGCUGCAUGGCCGUCGUCAGCUCGUGCCGUGAGGUGUUGGGUUAAGUCCCGCAACGAGCGCAACCCCUAUCUUUAGUUGCCAACAGGUAAUGCUGGGAACUCUAAAGAAACUGCCGCCGUAAGGUGUGAGGAAGGAGGGGAUGAUGUCAGGUCAUCAUGGCCUUUAUGCCCAGGGCUACACACGUACUACAAUGGGGGAGACAAAGGGCUGCAACAUAGCGAUAUGAAGCCAAUCCCAAAAACUCCCUCUCAGUUCAGAUUGCAGGCUGCAACUCGCCUGCAUGAAGCUGGAAUCGCUAGUAAUCGUAUAUCAGCAAUGAUACGGUGAAUACGUUCCCGGACCUUGCACACACCGCCCGUCAAGCCAUGGGAGUCGGGUGUACCUAAAGUCGGUAACCGUAAGGAGCUGCCUAGGGUAAAAUCGAUGACUGGGGCU
rnacentral:rRNA from 1 species